AUUGAACGCUGGCGGCAGGCCUAACACAUGCAAGUCGGACGGUAGCACAGGGGAGCUUGCUCCUCGGGUGACGAGUGGCGGACGGGUGAGUAAUGUCUGGGGAUCUGCCCGAUAGAGGGGGAUAACCACUGGAAACGGUGGCUAAUACCGCAUAACGUCGCAAGACCAAAGAGGGGGACCUUCGGGCCUCUCACUAUCGGAUGAACCCAGAUGGGAUUAGCUAGAAGGCGGGGUAACGGCCCACCUAGGCGACGAUCCCUAGCUGGUCUGAGAGGAUGACCAGCCACACUGGAACUGGGACACGGUCCAGACUCCUACGGGAGGCAGCAGUGGGGAAUAUUGCACAAUGGGCGCAAGCCUGAUGCAGCCAUGCCGCGUGGAUGAAGAAGGCCUUCGGGUUGUAAAGUACUUUCAGCGGGGAGGAAGGCGAUGUGGUUAAUAACCUUGUCGAUUGACGUUACCCGCAGAAGAAGCACCGGCUAACUCCGUGCCAGCAGCCGCAGUAA
rnacentral:rRNA from 1 species